ensembl:lncRNA
UUUAAAUACAUUUAUUACCAGUAAUGCUAUCAGUGCAUUUUCUUAAAAUGAAGUACUGAAGAAAUGAGUGAAAUAAAAUAAAAAUUCGUAUACCUAAGGCUCUAUUUCACAACCUGUAAUAAUAUCCUCAGCUGAGUGCUUGUAAUAGCGAUUGCUGAAAGUUACUCAACACCCCUUCAAGUAGUGAAGCAGACGAUUUGGGGGAAGAUGGAUGGAAAGGAUUGGAAUGAAAACUGACCUUUUCCAGUCCUGUGGCCACUGCUGAGUUUUCCAAAUUUGCUGGCAUAUUGAGUGCAGCACUUUCACAGCAUCAUCUUUCAGGAUUGAAACAGCUCAACUGGAAUUCCAUCACCUGCACUAGCUUUGUUCAUAGUGAUGCUUCCUAAGGUCCACUUGACUUCACAUUCCAGGAUGUCUGGUUCUAGGGUCUUCAGAAAGGAAUACGGCCCCGCUGGCAUCUUCAUUUUGGACCAGUGAGACCAUUUCAAGUUUCUGACCUCCAGAAUGGAGAAGCAACUUAUGAAACGUGUCUGGAACACGCUCAUCUAUGAAAUGGAAAUUCCCUGAAAAACAAGAAAAUGCUUUCAGACCGACACCUAUGAAACUCCAAAGGAGCUUCCAGCACAAGCAGACCAAUGAGGAGGUGGUUUGAAGAGAAGACUCUUCUUGGCAUACCUGUAACUGAAGUCAAGAAAGUAGCCAUUCAUUCAUUCAGCCAUUUAGUCAUCUACCCAUUCACUCAGAACAAAUUUUUGAGGUACUUACUAUUUACCAAGCACUGUCUUGGCCCUGAAUAUACUAAAGUGAUCAAAGUAAUGAUUCUAGGAACUAAUAUACUUAUUGACCUAGUUGAGGAAACUAUGACUCAUGGAGUUCUGAGGGAAUAUAAUGGUAAAGUUGAAAUAAUUGGGUGGGAAAUUGAACAAAUGUAUUAACCUCUACUUUUCACCAAAUCCCAAAAAAAUGUUAACAAAAUGAGUCAACAUCAAAAAAGGACAAUGAAAAGAAGAACUAAGACUACAGCAAUAGAAAUCUGGAAACUAGAAAGAAAGACAAAGUUCCCUCACCUAAAAGAACGAAGAGGUUUCCAGUUUUAGCAAUAACAUGUAAAGAGCUUGGAAAUAACCGCUAUUACAAUUUUUAAAAAGAAUAUUAAUGACUUUUCUUGAACCCAUCAGAAAAUGCAGGUUUCAGGGAAAAUACUAUACUGGCUUUGUUGUUAUUGUUUAGUUUCUCAGUCUGCCUCUUUGCAACCCUGUGGACUAUACCUGCCAGGUUCCUCUGUUCAUGGGAUUUCACAAGCAAGAAUCCUGGAGUGGGUUGUCCUUUCCUUAGAGAGAUGAAUUCGAGGAUUUGCAGUUGGAAUCCGCUAACUAGAUCAGAAGCAGAGUUGUCCCUUGAACAGAGUGCCAGACAUCCUUGAGUGUGAACUCAAG